rnacentral:rRNA from 1 species
AGAGUUUGAUUCUGGCUCAGGAUGAACGCUAGCGACAGGCCUAACACAUGCAAGUCGAGGGGCAUCGGGGCGAGGAGCAAUCCUUGCCGCCGGCGACCGGCGCACGGGUGAGUAACGCGUAUGCGACCUGCCCGUUGCAGGGGGAUAAUCGGGAGAAAUCCCGUCUAAUACCGCGUAACGCCGCGGGGCUGCAUGGCCCUGCGGCCAAAGGGAGCGAUUCCGGCAACGGAUGGGCAUGCGUGACAUUAGCUAGUUGGCGGGGCAACGGCCCACCAAGGCGACGAUGUCUAGGGGUUCUGAGAGGAAGGUCCCCCACACUGGUACUGAGACACGGACCAGACUCCUACGGGAGGCAGCAGUGAGGAAUAUUGGUCAAUGGGCGCGAGCCUGAACCAGCCAAGUCGCGUGAGGGAUGACGGCCCUACGGGUUGUAAACCUCUUUUGUCGGGGAGCAAAUUCCGCCACGUGUGGCGGAGUCGAGAGUACCCGAAGAAAAAGCAUCGGCUAACUCCGUGCCAGCAGCCGCGGUAAUACGGAGGAUGCGAGCGUUAUCCGGAUUUAUUGGGUUUAAAGGGUGCGUAGGCGGACUGUCAAGUCAGCGGUAAAAUACGGGGGCUCAACCUCCGCCCGCCGUUGAAACUGACGGUCUUGAGUGGGCGAGAAGUAUGCGGAAUGCGUGGUGUAGCGGUGAAAUGCAUAGAUAUCACGCAGAACUCCGAUUGCGAAGGCAGCAUACCGGCGCCCAACUGACGCUGAAGCACGAAAGCGUGGGUAUCGAACAGGAUUAGAUACCCUGGUAGUCCACGCAGUAAACGAUGAAUACUAGCUGUCCGGGGCGAAUGAGCCCUGGGUGGCACAGCGAAAGCGUUAAGUAUUCCACCUGGGGAGUACGCCGGCAACGGUGAAACUCAAAGGAAUUGACGGGGGCCCGCACAAGCGGAGGAACAUGUGGUUUAAUUCGAUGAUACGCGAGGAACCUUACCCGGGCUCAAACGACACAGGAACGUACCUGAAAGGGUUCGGCUCUACGGAGCCUGUGUCGAGGUGCUGCAUGGUUGUCGUCAGCUCGUGCCGUGAGGUGUCGGCUUAAGUGCCAUAACGAGCGCAACCCCCAUCGACAGUUGCUAACAGGUUAGGCUGAGGACUCUGUCGAGACUGCCGGCGCAAGCUGCGAGGAAGGCGGGGAUGACGUCAAAUCAGCACGGCCCUUACGUCCGGGGCGACACACGUGUUACAAUGGCAGGUACAGCGGGAAGCCACCUGGCGACAGGGAGCGGAACCCGAAAGCCUGUCUCAGUUCGGAUUGGAGUCUGCAACCCGACUCCAUGAAGCUGGAUUCGCUAGUAAUCGCGCAUCAGCCACGGCGCGGUGAAUACGUUCCCGGGCCUUGUACACACCGCCCGUCAAGCCGUGGAAGCCGGGGGUGCCUGAAGUGCGCUGCCGCGAGGAGCGCCCUAGGGUAAAACCGGUGACUGGGGCUAAGUCGUAACAAGGUAGC